AUAUCUGCUCGUACAGCAGCGAACAAGUAAAAUAAAGAAAAAAGCUGAAUAUGA
rnacentral:ncRNA from 1 species